UACGUAGGGUGCAAGCGUUGUCCGGAAUUAUUGGGCGUAAAGAGCUCGUAGGCGGCCUGUCGCGUCUGCUGUGAAAUCCCGGGGCUCAACCCCGGGCCUGCAGUGGAUACGGGCUGGCUGGAGGCAGGCAGGGGAGAUCGGAAUUCCUGGUGUAGCGGUGAAAUGCGCAGAUAUCAGGAGGAACACCGGUGGCGAAGGCGGGUCUCUGGGCCGAUACUGACGCUGAGGAGCGAAAGCGUGGGGAGCGAACAGG
rnacentral:rRNA from 1 species